GAAUUUUAUAUGAAUUAUUAUAAAAUAAAAUUAGUAAUUUAUAUUUUAUUGGGAGGAUAAUUAAAUUUAAAUAACUUUAAUGUAUAAAAACUUUGAUUAAUGGAAAGAAAAAGAUGAUUAAUAAAAAAUUAUUAGAGAUUAAAUUACCUUAGGGAUAACAGCAUUAUAUUUUUUUUUAGAUCAUAUAUAAAAAAAUGUUUAU
rnacentral:rRNA from 1 species